rnacentral:misc_RNA from 1 species
UGCAUACUGGGGAAGAUAUUGGACAAUUGCUGCUUUUUCAACAAUUUAUUUCAUUGGAAUGUGUACAUUAACUCUCUCUGCAUCUGUUCCUGCUCUAAAGCCUGCUGAAUGUGUUGGGUUUAUGUGCCCCCCAGCUUCUUCUGCUCAGUAUAUUGUAUUUUUCCUUGGACUCUAUUUGAUUGCCCUUGGGACCGGUGGAAUCAAA